AUGGGCGAAAGCCUUGAUCCAGCCAUGCCGCGUGUGUGAAGAAGGUCUUCGGAUUGUAAAGCACUUUAAGUUGGGAGGAAGGGCAGUUACCUAAUACGUGAUUGUUUUGACGUUACCGACAGAAUAAGCACCGGCUAACUCUGUGCCAGCAGCCGCGGUAAUACAGAGGGUGCAAGCGUUAAUCGGAAUUACUGGGCGUAAAGCGCGCGUAGGUGGUUUGUUAAGUUGGAUGUGAAAUCCCCGGGCUCAACCUGGGAACUGCAUUCAAAACUGACUGACUAGAGUAUGGUAGAGGGUGGUGGAAUUUCCUGUGUAGCGGUGAAAUGCGUAGA
rnacentral:rRNA from 1 species